UAGCCAGCGGCAUCCCACUGGAGUCCACUUUGGUGUUUUACUGUUUGCGUUAAAUCUUGUUGCUGCUCAGUUUUUGGGUCCGCGUUACUUUUUUGAGCCGUAACAUUUGCGCAAAGGUCUACAGCUUCACUCCUGACAGCGAGAUCAUAAACCCACCGGAAAAAAGCUCCAGACAACCUUUCACGUCUGAAGGAAAAAACUCUGGACACACCAUCUUUAAGAACUGUAACACUCACUGUGAGGGUCCGUGGCUUUAUUCAUGAAGUCAGUAAGACCAAGAACCCGCCGAUUCCGGACACAGUAGUACAGAACUGAGAUACUUGAGAAUCUUCCUCAACAAUGAAGAGAGUGAUGCUGAGGAGGGAUUUCUGCCUCAGUGAUUAGGGAGGAGACUCUCCUAAUUAGAUGGAGGAGUGGAAUUGCUGGCUCGAAUGGUAACUCUACGUUUGACAUUGUGAAGAACUGCCAAACAUUUUGUUUAUACUUUAAAAAUCUGAAUUAAAAGGUAAUUUUAAAACUUCAAAAUAUAUGGCUUCCUUCUAACAGUUGUAAAGCAAAAAUACAAUUUGAAGCCCCCUGCUCCCCUCCACAACCACUGGAAUAAAGUUCCUCCUCAGCUAGGGCACUCUAAAAUCUAACCUGAAGGACUGGUUCAGGCCAUGACCAGAAGUGGGGAUUGGACAUGCCUCAUUAGACCCCUUCAGCAUGAAUGUCAACAGAGACCUGAAAUUUGAUAAGAACAUUUACUUUUCUCUCUGAAGCCUGCUACUUGGUGGCUUCGCCUGCAUGAUAAAACCUAGGACUCCAUAACCACUUAUCAUAACCCAGACAUUCCUUUCUACUGAUAAUAACUCUUUCAACCAAUUGCCAAUCAGAAUAUGUUUAAAUCUACUACGACCUGGAAACCCCCACCUUACAUGUAUUGACUGAUGUAUUAUGUCUCCCCAAAAUGUAUCAAAGCAAGCUGUACCCUGACCACC